rnacentral:rRNA from 1 species
UACGUAGGUGGCAAGCGUUGUCCGGAUUUACUGGGCGUAAAGGGCGUGCAGGCGGCUUGUUAAGUCUAGGGUGAAAGCUCCCGGCUCAACUGGGAGAGGUCCUUGGAUACUGGCGAGCUUGAGGGAUGCAGAGGAAAGUGGAAUUCCCGGUGUAGUGGUGAUAUGCGUAGAUAUCGGGAGGAACACCAGUGGCGAAGGCGGCUUUCUGGGCAUUACCUGACGCUGAGACGCGAAAGCGUGGGGAGCGAACCGG